rnacentral:rRNA from 1 species
CCUACGGGGGGCAGCAGUGAGGAAUAUUGGUCAAUGGACGAGAGUCUGAACCAGCCAAGUAGCGUGAAGGAUGACUGCCCUAUGGGUUGUAAACUUCUUUUAUAAAGGAAUAAAACGAGGCACGUGUGCCUUUUUGCAUGUACUUUAUGAAUAAGGAUCGGCUACCUCCGUGCCAGCAGCCGCGGUAAUACGGAGGAUCCGAGCGUUAUCCGGAUUUAUUGGGUUUAAAGGGAGCGUAGAUGGGUUGUUAAGUCAGUUGUGAAAGUUUGCGGCUCAACCGUAAAAUUGCAAUUGAUACUGGCAGUCGUGAGUAGAGUUGAGGUAGGCGGAAUUCGUGGUGUAGCGGUGAAAUGCUUAGAUAUCACGAAGAACCCCGAUUGCGAAGGCAGCUUACUAAACUGUGACUGACAUUGAGGCUCGAAAGUGUGGGUAUCAAACAGGAUUAGAUACCCCAGUAGUC